UAUCGGAACGUGCCCUGGAGUGGGGGAUAACGCAGCGAAAGUUGCGCUAAUACCGCAUACGAUCUAAGGAUGAAAGCGGGGGAUUCGCAAGAACCUCGUGCUCCUGGAGCGGCCGAUAUCUGAUUAGCUAGUUGGUGGGGUAAAGGCCUACCAAGGCAUCGAUCAGUAGCUGGUCUGAGAGGACGACCAGCCACACUGGAACUGAGACACGGUCCAG
rnacentral:rRNA from 1 species